UGAUGGGGUCAACUCCUGCGAGGGUACUCUUUUCUCCACUUGGUUUCUAAACUUGCUGUUAUAACCAUCAUACUAUUUGGUGUGAGAGUUUCUGCACCAAUCCAAAUUAUACACAUAAUACUCUUUGGUGUAAGAUUUUCUUCACCAAUCCAUUGAUAACACAUUUUUUGGUACAAGUACUAGAACAGUAACAAAAUUCCCGUUUCAAGUUUAUGAGAGCAUGUUUCAUAGACAUGCACUUGGUUUCUUCUUGGAUCCACCUGUUGGGCCUAUGCAAUAUUCAUAUCACUAAAUUUCUUGACAAACUUAAAAAAAAUAAUAAAAAAAAUGCUUUGAGGAAGUAUAGCCUUCUUUUGCAUAUUUUAAAUUUUCUUGAUAUUUUUAAAUAGCACAAAUAGGUUCUCAGUUAUCUGGGAGCAGGACACUGGUACUUAAAUAUCACAUGUAAAUGUUGGUGAAAUGACAUAGAUGAUAAGAUACUUUUUCAUGGGAGUGUAUAUUGAUUCACUUGAGAUUUUCAACUCUUGGUGUGUUUCA
rnacentral:misc_RNA from 1 species